rnacentral:misc_RNA from 1 species
GAGGCUAGCAUUCAUACACGUACGCGCACACACACGUACACACGCGGUAUUGGCAAAGAAGGUGGAGUAUGCGGGCGGGCGAUCAGCGGCGCUACCACGACAUUUUACGUCGUGAGGCCAGGCCGCAGGCGAGAAAACUCUGCAGCGGGUCGGCGCCCGUUGCCGCGCAGCUGAGCGGCAGCAGCCACGGUACCGAAGCGUUCCUUGCUUCCAGAAGCGGCGCCUCUCUUGUGUGCGACCCGCUGGCCGAGCUGAACAUUCCCUCGACAGCAGUGUCGGAGGUGGUCGAGUACGUCUGCAGCCGCCGCGGCUUCACCUCGCUGCACCCCAACUUUCUUCGCUUUGAGCACCUGCGCUGCAUCGUCUUGGCGCACAACGCACUCGAAACCCUCCACAAUCUGCUCUUGCCAUCAUCGACGCUGGGUGCAUCCUCGCCUGCCUCGACCAUAACCGCCGCUGAUGGACUCCCCCUUCUCCCGCCACCGCCUCCCCUUUACCGCGGAUGUCGGCAGCUGACUCACCUCCACGCCGCGUACAACCGCAUCAGCGACAUUGCGGGUGGUACUGACAUCCCGCGCCUCUUCCUCUUGGAGCACCUGUCGCUGGCGCACAAUCAGCUUACAGGCCUCGGCAAGGUGCUGGAUGCCCUGAAGCGGCUGCGAAACCUUCGCUUUCUGGACCUGCGCGGCAACCCGGUCACAGGGGAGCCGCGAUACCGCGAGCGAUGUAUAGCGGCGCUCCCCCAGGUGGAGGUGCUUGAUCACCAGUCCGUCACACCAAAGGAGCGCGAGGAGGCAGCGGCACCGGCGCGGUGGAACGGGCUCACACACGAGAGCCGUUCGUGCAGCACCGCCACUUCCACUGCUACUGCGGUGAGCAGUGCUCGGCCGCGUACCUCGCCGAGUUGCACGAAAGGGCUUAGAGCGGCGGGCGACCCCUUCGCCAAGUCUCCCACGGCGAAGGACUUGGAGCGCGCCUACGCGGCCUACCUUUGCCAACAGCGGCAAGCACAGGAAGCGGCAGCGCAGAGCACCGCUGCUGCCUGUCGACAGCAAGAGGAGAUAUGGGAGUCCUUUCACGCUGUCUGGACACUCUCGCAGCCGGGCAUGCCGCUCUCCGCUGAUGGCUGGCAACGGACGCAGAUGGCAGCGGCGGCAGCGGCUUCGGAGAGCGCCGAAGGAAACGGGGAAAGGCCGGACACGCAGAACGCCUUCCACUCUGCCCCUAGCUUUCGAGUGCCGGUAUUCGACUCCGCCGGUCCUUCAGCCCCGUCAUCGCCGCUGCACGCGGGCCGCAAGCAGAUCAAGACACUGUCCGUCUCGCCUGCAACGACCAGUAUCACGGCAGCGCCGGCGCCGACACACGUGAGUGUCGGCAGCGGCAAAGCAGCGCUGAACGUGACGAUCGACGUGCCGUUUGAUCGCCCUCUCUUUCCCUCGUCUGCCGAGACGGCCGGCACACCUGAGUCAGCCACCUCGCAGCUAGCAGUAGCAGCAUCCACGAGAUCAGGCCCCCUCCCCUCAGCCGCAAUCGCUACCCCACUGCUGCCCUCGGUACACAAUAGUUUGUAUUUUCGUGCCGUCCGAGGCGGCUCGGCGACAUCGUGCAAGGGCACAGCGCCGCUCCUUCCGACCGCGACCUCUCCACCUGCAGUGAGCCGGCUGCUGCCUGUGGAGGGGUUGGCGCCUGAUCGACUCACCACGCUGCAGCGUACCCUUGAGGCCUCCGCUCAGGUUGUCCGCGUCGCAACCGCACGGCAGGGCUCGCUGGGACCACUGAAGAAGCUGUCCGUUGUGCAGGAGCGUGUAGGGUCAGGGCGGCGUAAUGUCGCACCAUCGCCGCCGCCGCCCACUGUCGCUUCCGCCACCAGCAUUCCCGUUGAGUUCAGCACUUUGCGUGCCAUUCAGGAAACCAAGUAUGCCAUCAUUCCGCCGCCGUGGGAAGGCGCGAGCGCGCGCACCGCGGUUAGUGGUGCCAAGGAAUCCGUCGCCAGGUCGCCGCGAGUCGUUGCGGCUUCACUGGGCGCCACCGGAGCCUCAGAGGCGACCCCCAACUGCAUCGGUGUGGUCUCGCCCGCCACAACUCAGCAGGAGGCGCUCACGGAGAUUCUGGUGCUACUGCACGACGUCUACUCCUUGAAGGAGCUCCAGGCGCUGGAGGGCGAGUAUGGUGGCGCUGAACUACUGCGCCUGCUGCCGCUGCGCGAGUGGUCCGCCCUCGGGAGCGAAAGCGGAGCCGGCGAGGUCGUGAGCACCGCCGUGGCGGCGAGGCAGGCCAUGACAGUCUUGUCGCAUCCCGACAACGUCGGAAACGCGGCAGGCGGCGGUGGAGGCAACGUUCGUGGCCCUGCCUCCCAGCAAGACCGAAAAUGCUUUGCCGCGUCCAAGGGAACUGCACACAGAGGCAAUACUAGGGCCGGCUCGGCGGGCUUGGCUGCCACGCGUGGUGGCGGCGCCGACGCCGUCGGAGGAGUGCCAACGGUGGCCGCUGCCCUGGACGCUGCGCGAGCGGCGCUGCGUAGGGAGCCACAGCUGGUGUGGCAGCUUCUCACAGGCCCCUACAUAGUGGCAGGAGCGACGGCUGGAGGAAACCCCAGCGUUGUAGUGGUCCUUGGCAAGAGCAGCGAGGACGCCGGCGGGUCGGUCAGCCUCAUCCGCAAGAGCAGUAACAGCAGCGCCGCCAACACGGCAUCCCCUGCGGAGGCCAUAAUCAGCAGCAAUGCAGGAGCCAGAGCCAACGCUGCAGCCGCCUCUGCCCCUCCGGUUUCCCUGCAGGACCCCGAGGCAGUGCAACACCUUGUGCGGCCGAUCGGCCCGUACGCAUCGCACGUGCUGGGACCGUUGCUGACGCUGCUGCGGGCGCCUGUGGCCGAGGAGGGCGUGGAGUCGAUGUGCGAGGCCCUUGCGGCGCACCACGCCCUGCACGAGAGAACCAUGGCGGCGGCGUCGAUGUUGAAGGCCACCGCCGCAGAGCUUCAGCCUCGUUCCUCUAGCGCCGGGUUCAGGAACAAGAAGGAGUCGCUGCUGGUGACGGAGGAGAACGGCAGCGCCGAGGCGAAGAGCAGGAAGCCGGCCAGGGCUGCAGCACUGACCUUCUUCCCCGACGGCGGGGCUUCAGCGUCCCUUUUGUCUGUGCCCUCUGCAGUGGGCCCCCAAACGCGCUCCUCCGCGAAAGCCGCGCAGAUGCUCCUGCAGCAGCAUCCACGGCAGCGGGUCGAUACACAGCUCACCCUCACCGCGGUUCUGACCGCACUUCUCUUCUCGCCGGCUUUUGUGCGCUCGCGCGUCGCCUACCUGGAGGAAAAGCUGACGCGUGCGACGUCGGCGACGGCAGCCGCCAGCGUCAUAGCCACUGCCGAUCAUGCAGGUCAGAAGGGCGGUGGUGCUGCGGCAACGCUGCCCCUCCUCUUCCACCGCGUGCAGGCAGUGAAAAUGCACGCUGCACGCAUCGAGGCCGCGCUGGCGGCGGCCGGCCCGUCUGCGACAACGAGUGAAGCGUUGCGUCUCCUUGACCCUGCGCAGGUGCUGGCCGCCUACACUGGCCGCCGUUAGCGCGCCGCGCGAGCAGCGUGUAGCGGCAGCUGAGGCUCAGGAGGGGGAAUGCAAGGAUGCGGAUGAUGCAAGUGGUGUGAUGCUCCCAACCUCACCGGUCUACACUCUGCCUCCUCCUUGCCAACGUGUGUGAAGGUUGGGGUUUGACACCAAGACGGUACCGACUGCGGCUGCUGCGAUCCUCCUUGUUUCGCUGUGGUCUGGUGUAUCCGCCUUUCAUGGAAAGACGCAUCGGCGUUGGUGAUGAUGCGAGGUUUCGAUCUCCGUGUGAAGCAUGCCUCUGCUCUCCCCUUGCGCAGACUACCCACCCCUUCCCCUUCUCUUACUUCACUGUCUUCCAGCCCUCUCUCUAUCUUCGCUUGCCUUCUCUAUUUCGUCUCCUCGUCAUGGCGUUGAGCGUCUAGGUCGUAGAUGUAUCACACGCGCACACACACCGUUUCCCCCUCCCUUCCCGUCGAAGCAGCUGAUAAAGGAGAUGCGCGUUGUGGCGUGCAUAUCUGUGCGUCUGCGUGUAUGCGCAGAUACAGCUCUUUCAGCACUUUAGGGCUUAUGUACAUAAAGGUAUAUAUAUAUAUAUAUAUAUGCGUGUGUGUGUGUGUGUUUAUGUAUGUGCGCGCACGUGUCUCAUGAUUGACUGAUGUGAAAAAGAAAACGGAAACGAAAAGCAAAAGUGUUUUUCUUCAUUACUUGUUGCUACCCUUCCUCGCGCCCCCAACUCCACCACCGCCGCCGUCGCGCUUUCCCACACAGACAAGUACCAUGUCACCUCCUGCUUACGUACAGGACUGUACUGUGUGACUCUGUGUUUGCCUCUCGCCUUCCCUCGCGUGCGUGCGUGCGUGUGUGCGGGCCUCCUUUCUUUAUCGCUUCUCUACCUCUGUUGUAUAAUGGAAGGCUUUCUUGUGUUCUUGGAAGCAUCGUCUCUGCACGCUCCGUCCUUCUCUGUCGUCCCUCUUUUGCUUCCUUGUCCUCCGCGCCCGUGAUCAGAUCCCUCUAUCCUGCUCCUCUUGUCGCAUGUUCUAUACGCUACCAUCACCCCGCUGUCAUCGCUGUUCCCCUCCCGCUACCCUGCAAACACUUUUACGUUGUUCGUUGCUUCGUCUUUCCGUUUCCUACUGUACAACUCACUGCCGUUAACAGCAGUUGCCGUCGUCAUGUGAUCGUGGAUGUGCCCGUGUGCGCGGUGGCUUCUCACGAAGACGUCGCCGCAGCCUCUCCCGCCUCUCUCCCCUGCGCGUUUAUCAGGUUCUCCAGCUCGAAUCGCUCGAUCCGUUCUCUAGACCCGCCACGAGAGGGCACCCGUCCGCGAUGCGCAUGUAUGUGGAUGUAUCCAUCCUGCGCACCUGGUAUAACGGCCGCUGA